UACGUAGGGUCCGAGCUUUGUCCGGAAUUAUUGGGCGUAAAGGGCUCGUAGGCGGUUCGUCACGUCGGGAGUGAAAACUCGGGGCUUAACCCCGAGCCUGCUUCCGAUACGGGCAGACUAGAGGUAGGCAGGGGAGAGCGGAACUCCUGGUGUAGCGGUGGAAUGCGCAGAUAUCAGGAAGAACACCGGUGGCGAAGGCGGCUCUCUGGGCCUUACCUGACGCUGAGAAGCGAAAGCAUGGGGAGCGAACAGG
rnacentral:rRNA from 1 species